rnacentral:rRNA from 1 species
GAUGAACGCUGGCGGCGUGCCUAAUACAUGCAAGUCGAGCGAACGGACGAGAAGCUUGCUUCUCUGAUGUUAGCGGCGGACGGGUGAGUAACACGUGGAUAACCUACCUAUAAGACUGGGAUAACUUCGGGAAACCGGAGCUAAUACCGGAUAAGAUUUUGAACCGCAUGGUUCAAAAGUGAAAGACGGUCUUGCUGUCACUUAUAGAGGGAUCCGCGCUGCAUUAGCUAGUUGGUAAGGUAACGGCUUACCAAGGCAACGAUGCAUAGCCGACCUGAGAGGGUGAUCGGCCACACUGGAACUGAGACACGGUCCAGACUCCCACGGGAGGCAGCAGUAGGGAAUCUUCCGCAAUGGGCGAAAGCCUGACGGAGCAACGCCGCGUGAGUGAUGAAGGUCUUCGGAUCGUAAAACUCUGUUAUUAGGGAAGAACAUAUGUGUAAGUAACUGUGCACAUCUUGACGGUACCUAAUCAGAAAGCCACGGCUAACUACGUG